GAUGAACGCUGGCGGCGUGCCUAAUACAUGCAAGUCGAGCGAACAGAUAAGGAGCUUGCUCCUUUGACGUUAGCGGCGGACGGGUGAGUAACACGUGGGUAACCUACCUAUAAGACUGGGAUAACUUCGGGAAACCGGAGCUAAUACCGGAUAACAUUUGGAACCGCAUGGUUCUAAAGUGAAAGAUGGUUUUGCUAUCACUUAUAGAUGGACCCGCGCCGUAUUAGCUAGUUGGUAAGGUAACGGCUUACCAAGGCGACGAUACGUAGCCGACCUGAGAGGGUGAUCGGCCACACUGGAACUGAGACACGGUCCAGACUCCUACGGGAGGCAGCAGUAGGGAAUCUUCCGCAAUGGGCGAAAGCCUGACGGAGCAACGCCGCGUGAGUGAUGAAGGGUUUCGGCUCGUAAAACUCUGUUAUUAGGGAAGAACAAAUGUGUAAGUAACUGUGCACGUCUGGACGGUACCUAAUCAGAAAGCCACGGCUAACUACGU
rnacentral:rRNA from 1 species